rnacentral:rRNA from 1 species
UCCUGACUGACCGAUAGUGAACCAGUACCGUGAGGGAAAGGCGAAAAGAACCCCGGCGAGGGGAGUGAAAAAGAACCUGAAACCGUGUACGUACAAGCAGUGGGAGCACGCUUAGGCGUGUGACUGCGUACCUUUUGUAUAAUGGGUCAGCGACUUAUAUUCUGUAGCAAGGUUAACCGAAUAGGGGAGCCGAAGGGAAACCGAGUCUUAACUGGGCGUUAAGUUGCAGGGUAUAGACCCGAAACCCGGUGAUCUAGCCAUGGGCAGGUUGAAGGUUGGGUAACACUAACUGGAGGACCGAACCGACUAAUGUUGAAAAAUUAGCGGAUGACUUGUGGCUGGGGGUGAAAGGCCAAUCAAACCGGGAGAUAGCUGGUUCUCCCCGAAAGCUAUUUAGGUAGCGCCUCGUGAAUUCAUCUCCGGGGGUAGAGCACUGUUUCGGCAAGGGGGUCAUCCCGACUUACCAACCCGAUGCAAACUGCGAAUACCGGAGAAUGUUAUCACGGGAGACACACGGCGGGUGCUAACGUCCGUCGUGAAGAGGGAAACAACCCAGACCGCCAGCUAAGGUCCCAAAGUCAUGGUUA